UAGCGAAAUUCCUUGUCGGGUAAGUUCCGACCUGCACGAAUGGCGUAACGAUCUCCACACUGUCUCGGCCAGAGACUCGGUGAAAUUGCAGUCGCGGUGAAAAUUCCGUGUACCCGCAGAAAGACGGAAAGACCCUGUGCACCUUUACUAUAGCUUGACAUUGGAUUUUGGGCCUGCAUGUGUAGGAUAGGUGGGAGGCUGUGAACCCUGUACGCCAGUAUGGGGGGAGCCAUCCUUGAAAUACCACCCUUGCAUGUUUAAGAUCCUAACUUCUUCCGGUUAUCCCGGAGAAAGACAGUGUCUGGCGGGUAGUUUGACUGGGGCGGUCGCCUCCUAAAGUGUAACGGAGGCAUGCAAAGGUUCCCUCAGCCUGAUCGGAAACCAGGCGCUGAGUGCAAACGCAUAAGGGAGCUUGACUGUAAGAGAGACAUCUCGAACAGGAACGAAAGUUGGCGUUAGUGAUCCGGUGGUCCCGAAUGGAAGGGCCAUCGCUCAUUGGAUAAAAGGUACGCCGGGGAUAACAGGCUGAUCGCAUCCAAGAGUUCACAUCGACGAUGCGGUUUGGCACCUCGAUGUCGGCUCAUCACAUCCUGGGGCUGAAGCAGGUCCCAAGGGUACGGCUGUUCGCCGUUUAAAGUGGUACGCGAGCUGGGUUUAAAACGUCGUGAGACAGUUUGGUCCCUAUCUUCUGUGGGCGAAGGAGAAUUGAGAGGGCCUGUCCCUAGUACGAGAGGACCGGGAUGGACGCACCCCUGGUGAUCCUGUUGUCGCGCCAGCGGCAUAGCAGGGUAGCUAUGUGCGGAAGGGAUAACCGCUGAAAGCAUCUAAGCGGGAAGCCUGCCUCAAGAUAAGUUCUCCCCUCGAAAGAGCUGAAGGGCCCGGGUAGACUACCCGGUCGAUAGGCUGGAGGUGUAAGCGCGGCGACGUGCUCAGCUGACCAGUACUAAUAGCCCGAGCGGCUUAUUUUU
rnacentral:rRNA from 1 species